CCCUUAGAUGUUCUGGGCCGCACGCGCGCUACACUGAUGCAUUCAACGAGUCUACAACCUGGUCUGAUAGGGCUGGGUAAUCUUUUGAAUGUGCAUCGUGAUUGGGAUAGAUGAUUGCAAUUCUUCAUCUUCAACGAGGAAUGCCUAGUAAACGCAAGUCAUCAGCUUGCAUUGAUUACGUCCCUGCCCUUUGUACACACCGCCCGUCGCUCCUACCGAUUGAAUGAUCCGAUGAAUAUCAUGGAUUGAGGAUUAUAGCAGGUUCGCCUGUCUUGAUCUUCGAGAAGUGAAGUAAAUCUUAUCAUUUAGAGGAAGGAGAAGUCGUAACA
rnacentral:rRNA from 1 species